rnacentral:rRNA from 1 species
CAAUAGCGUAUACUAAUGUUGUUGCAGUUAAAAAGCUCGUAGUUGAACUUCUGGUAGGAGUGUCCCGGCCUUUUUGUUUUUACAAAUUGUAUGCUGUGUGACAUCUCUGGCCAUCCUUCUUCUUUGUUUAAAGAAGAUCUUUCGCUGUAAAAAAAUUAGGGUGUUCAAAGCAAAAGUUUCUUUGGAAUAUAUUAGUAUGGGAUGAUAAGAUAGGCUCUAGAUGCUAUUUUGUUGGUUUGCACAUUUAGAGAAUGAUUAACAGGGACAGUUGGGGGUAUUCGUAUUUACAUGUCAGAGGUGAAAUUCUUGGAUUUUGGAAAGACGAACUACUGCGAAAGCAUUUACCAAGGAUGUUUUCAUUAA